rnacentral:lncRNA from 1 species
CAAAAAGGAUUUUUAUUGAUAACUGAAUUACAUCUCUUUUAUACAUAUCUCAUAAAUGAUACAGUAUUUUUGUUUUUUUUGCCAACAUUACAGCAUCUGAUGUCAACAAUAUUUAUUUUUUACAACGGAAAUAAAAAAUAAAUAGGUCUGAAUGAAUGGAGAAACAAAUUAAAUCAUUUAAAUUAUGACAUUCUAUCUCACUCCUCUUUUAGGCAGGAUAAAAGCUCCAAAAACAACAAUGCACAAGUUACAAAACAGAAUAAAUGUGACUGGGGAGAAUGACAAAUCGAUCAGGCAAGAUGAACAGAGUUAAAAAAAAAAGGACUGGCAUGGUGGUGUGUAUCCACCUGUGCUGGGUCAUGUUCAUUAGGUACCAACUGGAACAAAACGGACCUUGCCCAAUAAGAAACGUUCAUUUUUGCUUUCCGUUUCACGUUUUCAGUCGCAUGCCUUGAUGAACACGACCCUCGACUGUUGUUACAUCUCAGAACACUAGGUCCAGAGGGGAGGAGAGGGGGAGACGGGGGAGAAAAGGAGGGAUGGAGGAGAAGGGAGGAGAGGGGGAGAAAGGGAGGGAUGGAGAAGAAGGGAGGAGAGGGGGAGAAAAGGAGGGAUGGAGGAGAAGGGAGGAGAGGGGGAGAAAAGGAGGGAUGGAGGAGAAAGGAGGAGAGGGGGAGAAAAUGAGGGAUGGAGGAGAAGGGAGGAGAGGGGGGAGAAAAUGAGGGAUGGAGGAGAAAGGAGGAGAGGGGGAGAAAAUGAGGGAUGGAGGAGAAGGGAGGAGAGGGGGAGAAAAGGAGGGAUGAGGAGAAGGGAGGAGAGGGGGAGAAAAGGAGGGAUGGAGGAGAAGGGAGGAGAGGGGGAGAAAGGAGGGAUAGAGGAGACGGGAGGAGAGGGGGAGAAAGGAGGGAUAGAGGAGAAGGGAGGAGAGGGGGGAGAAAGGAGGGAUAGAGGAGAAGGGAAGAGAGGAGAGGGGGAGAAAAGGAGGGAUGGAGGAGAAGGGAGGAGAGGGGGAGAAAAGGAGGGAUGGAGGAGAAGGGAAGAGAGGAGAGGGGGAGAAAAGGAGGGAUGGAGGAGAAGGGAGGAGAGGGGGAGAAAGGGAGGGAUGGAGGAGAAGGGAGGAGAGGGGGAGAAAGGAGGGAUGGAGGAGAAGGGAGGAGAGGGGGAGAAAGGAGGGAUGGAGGAGAAGGGAGGAGAGGGGGAGAAAAGGAGGGAUGGAGGAGAAGGGAGGAGAGGGGGAGAAAGGAGGGAUGGAGGAGAAGGGAGGAGAGGGGGAGAAAGGGAGGGAUGAAGGAGAAGGGAGGAGAGGGGGAGAAAGGAGGGAUGGAGGAGAAGGGAGGAGAGGGGGAGAAAAGGAGGGAUGGAGGAGAAGGGAGGAGAGGGGGAGAAAAUGAGGGAUGGAGGAGAAGGGAGGAGAGGGGGAGAAAAUGAGGGAUGGAGGAGAAGGGAGGAGAGGGGGAGAAAGGAGGGAUGGAGGAGAAGGGAGGAGAUGGGGAGAAAAGGAGGGAUGGAGGAGAAGGGAGGAGAGGGGGAGAAAGGAGGGAUGGAGGAGAAGGGAGGAGAGGGGGAGAAAGGAGGGAUGGCGGAGAAGGGAGGAGAGCCAGAUUUUGCAGGGCAGAUUCUAACAACAGAGAGAUAAGCUCCGUCUCAAUGCCCCUUACAACUAGGAAUCUCUACUACUUUACUCUUUUAAAACUAUCUUCGCAAUAUUUGUAUUUAUUUUGUACAUAAUUUCUCAUGUAAACAUUACAUUCAUGCAACAGCCGCUUUAUAAUAAAGUUCCUAUACUUGAUAUAUUUUGUUUUUUAAAAUGAACAAAAAAGAGAUAAAGGAAAAGGCAGUUAAAGGAGGAUGGUAUGAUGACCCCCAAGGACAGGAAGUGAGGAUGGUAUGAUGAGCCCUAAGGACAGGAAGUGAGGAUGGUAUGAUGAGCCCUAAGGACAGGAAGUGAGGAUGGUAUGAUGACCCCCAAGGACAGGAAGUGAGGAUGGUAUGAUGACCCCCAAGGACAGGAAGUGAGGAUGGUAUGAUGAGCCCUAAGGACAGGAAGUGAGGAUGGUAUGAUGACCCCCAAGGACAGGAAGUGAGGAUGGUAUGAUGACCCCCAAGGACAGGGAAUGAGGAUGGUAUGAUGACCCCCAAGGACAGGAAGUGAGGAUGGUAUGAUGACCCCCAAGGACAGGAAGUGAGGAUGGUAUGAUGACCCCCAAGGACAGGAAGUGAGGAUGGUAUGAUGACCCCUAAGGACAGGAAGUGAGGAUGGUAUGAUGACCCCUAAGGACAGGAAGUGAGGAUGGUAUGAUGACCCCUAAGGACAGGAAGUGAGGAUGGUAUGAUGACCCC